rnacentral:rRNA from 1 species
AUUGAACGCUGGCGGCAGGCCUAACACAUGCAAGUCGAGCGGAUGAAGGGAGCUUGCUCCUGGAUUCAGCGGCGGACGGGUGAGUAAUGCCUAGGAAUCUGCCUGGUAGUGGGGGAUAACGUCCGGAAACGGGCGCUAAUACCGCAUACGUCCUGAGGGAGAAAGUGGGGGAUCUUCGGAUCUCACGCUAUCAGAUGAGCCUAGGUCGGAUUAGCUAGUUGGUGGGGUAAAGGCCUACCAAGGCGACGAUCCGUAACUGGUCUGAGAGGAUGAUCAGUCACACUGGAACUGAGACACGGUCCAGACUCCUACGGGAGGCAGCAGUGGGGAAUAUUGGACAGUGGGCGAAAGCCUGAUCCAGCCAUGCCGCGUGUGUGAAGAAGGUCUUCGGAUUGUAAAGCACUUUAAGUUGGGAGGAAGGGCAGUAAGUUAAUACCUUGCUGUUUUGACGUUACCAACAGAAUAAGCACCGGCUAACUUCGU